rnacentral:lncRNA from 1 species
CUUUGACAAUAAAGUAGCUUUCCAUAUCGCGGCCAACUCAGAUAAACUGUCAUGUUAUUUGUAAUCAACUAAUAAAAGGAUUCAUUGUCACUCAUCAUAUCUCUUCUAAAUAACAACUCACAAAUCUCUUUUCUAAGCCCUUUGGCAUGAUAAGUUUUCACUAUCUUCUCUCUAAGAUGAGACUACUUAGUCCUGAGGCGUUUUCAUCUUGCGGGGUGGGUGAAAAGAAUAAAA